rnacentral:rRNA from 1 species
UACGUAGGUGGCGAGCGUUGUCCGGAUUUACUGGGCGUAAAGGGCGUGCAGGCGGUUUGUUAAGUGCAGAGUGAAAGCUCCCGGCUCAACUGGGAGAGGUCUUUGCAUACUGGCAAACUCGAGGGAGGCAGAGGAAAGUGGAAUUCCCGGUGUAGUGGUGAUAUGCGUAGAUAUCGGGAGGAACACCUAUGGCGAAGGCAGCUCGCUGGGACGUUACUGACGCUGAGACGCGAAAGCGUGGGGAGCAAACAGG